ACUAUGGGUCUCGUGAGGAGGCUCGGUGUCGCUCAGCGGGCAAUGGAGAGAGCUAUGCUCGGUAUUUCCCUGCUGGAUCGAAUCAGAAAUGAGGAGAUCCGCAGGAGAACUAAAGUCACCGACAUAGCUCGGAGAAUUGCAAAGCUGAAGUGGCAGUGGGCAGGACACAUAGCGAGGAGAACCGAUGGCCGCUGGGGCGGAAGGGUUCUGGAAUGGCGACCACGUGUCGGACGACGCUCAGUGGGUAGGCCCGCUACAAGGUGGACCGACGAUCUGGUGAAGGUCGCGGGAAGCCGCUGGAUGCGGGCAGCGCAGGACCGAUCGUCGUGGAGAUCCUUGGGGGAGGCCUAUGCCCAGCAGUGGGCGUACGGCUGAUGAUGAAGAUGAUGAUAGUGCAAGUCUGGUACCAGGAUUCAAACCGGCGCUCCCCGUUUUAGGAGCAAGCUGGUGUACCACAGGGACUUUAAAAUUCCUUUACACUGUUAACCCUAAAGAGCCAAAACUCCUAACUUUACAAUAUUUAUUUUGUAAAAAAAGGUUCAAUUAAUCUUCUUAUUCUAAAUUUGAAUCCACUAAUCACCGUUCAGGAUUUAACUUUUUAAAUUACGUUGCGCCGGUUCGUUCUUCUUUUUAUUAACCGACUUCAAAAAAGGAGGUUCUACAUUACAAUACAAUACAAAUACACUUUAUUGCAC